rnacentral:rRNA from 1 species
UUGUCGUAUCCUGCCCCACUCGACACACUCGCGAACGGUUGACCCCUGCCAUCUCGGAGGGGGCGGGGCGGGUUCUCCUCGGGCUCCCGUCUCUCUCUCUCCGAGAUAUUUUCCCUGCCUUCGGCACGUUCGACCGGCGGGAGCAUGCCUCCUCUGCCGAUCGGGCUGUCGACCGGCGGGACGACGAACCUUCCGGCGCGGCAUGCGCCAAGGAAAACGCAAGUGAAGGCCCGCGUGAUCCAUCCGCGUGGUGGACGUACGUGGUGCUCGUCACCGAAUACGAAAUGAGUCUGAACGACUCCCGGCAACGGAUAUCUAGGCUCUCGCAUCGAUGAAGAACGUAGCGAAAUGCGAUACGUGGUGUGAAUUGCAGAAUCCCGUGAACCAUCGAAUCUUUGAACGCAAGUUGCGCCCGAGGCCUCUAGGUCGAGGGCACGCCUGCCUGGGCGUCACGCCCCGCGUCGCUCCCCAAACCACCCCCCACGGGGUGACGAGGGAUGCGGAGAUUGGCCCACCGUGCACGUGCGCGGCAGGCUGAAGAACUCGGCCCUCCUGCCGGGCGAUUAACGGCGAGUGGUGGACGAUGCUCAUCGUCGCCGUGGUGCACGCCCGCGCGCAAGGACGGGCCGACCGUGAGGAACCCAGUCAUCGGAGAGAACGGCCGCGCAUCUUAUACAAAACUAUAAGAUAUAAGGUAUGCUGACUCUUCGAUCGCGACCCCA